UACGAAGGGGGCUAGCGUUGCUCGGAUUGACUGGGCGUAAAGGGCGCGUAGGCGGUUCGUACAGUCAGACGUGAAAUUCCUGGGCUCAACCUGGGGGCUGCGUUUGAUACGUGCGGACUUGAGUGCGGAAGAGGGUCGUGGAAUUCCCAGUGUAGAGGUGAAAUUCGUAGAUAUUCGCAAGAACACCAGUGGCGAAGGCGGCUCACUGGCUCGGUACUGACGCUGAGGUGCGAAAGCGUGGGGAGCAAACAGG
rnacentral:rRNA from 1 species